rnacentral:rRNA from 1 species
CGGCGGACGGGUGAGUAACGCGUGGGUAACCUGCCUCAUACAGGGGGAUAACAGUUAGAAAUGACUGCUAAUACCGCAUAAGACCACAGGGCCGCAUGGCCCGGUGGUAAAAACUCCGGUGGUAUGAGAUGGACCCGCGUCUGAUUAGCUGGUUGGUAGGGUAACGGCCUACCAAGGCAACGAUCAGUAGCCGACCUGAGAGGGUGACCGGCCACAUUGGGACUGAGACACGGCCCAAACUCCUACGGAAGGCAGCAG